AAAAAUGGAAAAAAGACCCCUAAUGAGAGACCCGUUAUUGUAACCAACAGGUAUGUUUGAUGUAAGAGAUCCAUUAAUAGAGGUAAGAGGUCUCUUAUAAGCCCUCAGGCCCACAAAUUUAUUGUGUGGAGUGAAAUAAGAAACCCAUGUAAGAGUCUAGUCUCUUAUCUCCUUUUUUCACUUUGCAUUAUUUGCGUAUGUAUGGCCUUUCUUUUGGCUCAAUAUCUCUCCUCUCGAGCUUCACCGACAUUAAAAUUAUAAUCACCUCUUUCUUUCUCACUACACCGACAUUCCCUUACAAUUUUUUUCCUCUAAAAUGUAUUCCUCAUUCAUCACCUCCAUUUUUUUCUCUCUCAUCAAUGCCUUCUUCUCCUUCUUUUUCCACCUUCAUCAACAAAUUCUUAAGAACAAAUGCGUGCUCCUUGUAUUAUUUGAGAAAUCACCGCCUUCAAGAUCCCUUGUUGCUUAGCCUCCGAUGACAACGGUUGCGAAAUGCUGUAAUGCAAUUAGAUCUAGAUCUAAUUAAGAAUUCAGGUUACGAAGUGCUUUAGUUACGCUUAAGUUUGAAUUUCACAUCUGGGCAAUAUCAAGAUUGGCUAAAUAGACACUAUUAAUUGGGAAUUUUGAAAUACCCAAUUUUGACAGGGUAGCAAUUGAUUUGAAAGCCCUAACCUGCGAAAUUCUGAGAGCCCAAGAGUACCAGCUUGUCGAAAUUACAGAGAAUUGAAUACUUAAGCCUUAUUGAUGUAAUUGUAGUAGUAAAUUUUAGUGACUUUAAAUAUUUUUGUGUCAAGUUUUCUUGAAUGUUGAUUUUUUUUGGGUAUCAUAUAAAUCUUUUUAGCCCAUAGUAUUUCAUAUGGUCUUAUCUUAAAGUAUUGUAAGUACUUUUAUUUAUCUUUAUUUUUUUAGGAAAGUACUUAUAAUUUAUUCAUUUUCCACCAAUUUGUUUAGAGAUGAAAUAUUCAAAAUUCAAAUGCAAACCAUAUUAAAAG